rnacentral:rRNA from 1 species
GACGUAGGGCGCGAGCGUUGUCCGGAUUUAUUGGGCGUAAAGAGCUCGUAGGCGGCUUGUUGCGUCAGCUGUGAAAACCCGCAGCUCAACUGUGGGCUUGCGGUCGAUACGGGCAGGCUCGAGUUCGGUAGGGGAGACUGGAAUUCCUGGUGUAGCGGUGAAAUGCGCAGAUAUCAGGAGGAACACCGGUGGCGAAGGCGGGUCUCUGGGCCGAUACUGACGCUGAGGAACGAAAGCGUGGGGAGCGAACAGG